GAUGAACGCUGGCGGCGUGCUUAACACAUGCAAGUCGAACGGGAAAUAUUUCAUUGAGACUUCGGUGGAUUUGAUUUAUUUCUAGUGGCGGACGGGUGAGUAACGCGUGGGUAACCUUCCUUAUACAGGGGGAUAACAGUCAGAAAUGGCUGCUAAUACCGCAUAAGCGCACAGAGCUGCAUGGCUCAGUGUGAAAAACUCCGGUGGUAUAAGAUGGACCCGCGUUGGAUUAGCUAGUUGGUGGGGUAACGGCCCACCAAGGCGACGAUCCAUAGCCGGCCUGAGAGGGUGAACGGCAAGAGUGGGACUGAGACACGGCCCAGACUCCUACGGGAGGCAGCAGUGGGGAAUAUUGCACAAUGGGGGAAACCCUGAUGCAGCGACGCCGCGUGAAGGAAGAAGUAUCUCGGUAUGUAAACUUCUAUCAGCAGGGAAGAUAGUGACGGUACCUGACUAAGAAGCCCCGGCUAACUACGUG
rnacentral:rRNA from 1 species